GGCUGGCAUAUUGGAGUUCCAAACAGGUGGGCAGGGCAAGUCCACAGACUUGGGAUACUGCCUGCUGGACACUAGUGAUCUGUGGGCGGACAUGGAAGUCUGGGGCAGCUUGCUGGAAUUUUUAUCUCAUGCGUCCAGCACAGCCUGCACCGCUGAAGAAAAGCAAGGCCACUCCGAGACAGUCUUCAUCUUACCUGCUGCUGCAGUGCCAGAUGCAGUAGCCCAGCAGAGCGUCCGCCAGCUGACCCAUGGAGUGAGCUUCAAUACCCUACCUAUGCAGCCCCAGAAGGGGUCUUUGGGCCAAUCACAGUCACGUGUUUGGCCAGUCACAGCCUUGCCCCUUAGCACCAGUCACAGAGACUGAGGCUGGUGCGCUGGGCAGGUUACGCCCUGGUCCUUUAGCGCUCACUGAAGGAAGUGCCCCCUUGCCCAGGCCCCAGACAAGGUGGGCAAGGCUAUUUGAGAGGCGCACGUCCAGCACAUAAAACAGAGGAAAGCACUUUCCAGGCCUGCCUUCUCUCUGCUCGCUGAAUUCUGAGGAGGAAACUUAAUCCCCAGCAAACACUCAGAAGUGCUCUACUGACGCAGGCUGCUCUCUUAACUAAGGAUUCCAUCUCCAGGACGCAGUGAACUGUCAAAUUUCAUUACCUCUACAUGUGGGCCCUGCUGGCCCUCCCCAUGUGGAUUUCUGUAACUCAAAGGGCAGUCUGAACACAGACAGCAGCAGACAGAAUUAUACACGCACGCCACUGGCUGGAAUCAACACACUGCUCCUGAUGUUGAUUGACUCAAGGCCGGACAGCACAAGACUGUCAGCAAAUGAACAGCAACGCUGUUCCAAGAUCCGUCAAAUAUUAUUUUAGAUUAUAAAACUAUGAUAGGAGAUAGAUUCUCACACUUGAUUUCUGAA